rnacentral:snoRNA from 1 species
UCUCCAUGAUGAACAUAAAAUGAUAAGCAUAUGCCUAAACUCAAUGAUACCUUAACUACUGAGAAG